rnacentral:rRNA from 1 species
UACGGGGGGAGCAAGCGUUGUUCGGAUUUACUGGGCGUAAAGGGCGCGUAGGCGGUCAGCACAAGUCAGUUGUGAAAUCUCCGGGCUUAACUCGGAAAGGUCAACUGAUACUGUGCGACUAGAGUGCGGAAGGGGCAACUGGAAUUCUCGGUGUAGCGGUGAAAUGCGUAGAUAUCGAGAGGAACACCUGCGGCGAAGGCGGGUUGCUGGGCCUACACUGACGCUGAUGCGCGAAAGCCAGGGGAGCGAACGGG